AUGGCUCAGGAUGAACGCUAGCGGCAGGCCUAAUACAUGCAAGUCGAACGAGAUUAAGAGGCUUGCUUCUUAUGAAAGUGGCGCACGGGUGCGUAACGCGUAUGCAACCUACCUUAAUCAGGGGGAUAGCCCGAAGAAAUUCGGAUUAAGACCGCAUAAAAACACAGGAUAGCAUUAUCCAAUGUUCAAAUAUUUAUAGGAUUAAGAUGGGCAUGCGUGUCAUUAGCUAGUUGGCGGGGUAACGGCCCACCAAGGCGACGAUGACUAGGGGAUCUGAGAGGAUGACCCCCCACACUGGUACUGAGACACGGACCAGACUCCUACGGGAGGCAGCAGUAAGGAAUAUUGGUCAAUGGAGGGAACUCUGAACCAGCCAUGCCGCGUGCAGGAAGACAGCCCUCUGGGUCGUAAACUGCUUUUAUUCGGGAAUAAACCUUUCUACGUGUAGGAAGCUGAAUGUACCGAAGGAAUAAGGAUCGGCUAACUCCGUGCCAGCAGCCGCGGUAAUACGGAGGAUCCAAGCGUUAUCCGGAUUUAUUGGGUUUAAAGGGUGCGUAGGCGGCUUAUUAAGUCAGGGGUGAAAGACGGUGGCUCAACCAUCGCAGUGCCCUUGAUACUGAUGAGCUUGAAUACACUAGAGGUAGGCGGAAUGUGACAAGUAGCGGUGAAAUGCAUAGAUAUGUCACAGAACACCGAUUGCGAAGGCAGCUUACUAUGGUGUUAUUGACGCUGAGGCACGAAAGCGUGGGGAUCAAACAGGAUUAGAUACCCUGGUAGUCCACGCCCUAAACGAUGAAUACUCGCUGUUAGCGAUAUACAGUUAGCGGCUAAGCGAAAGCGUUAAGUAUUCCACCUGGGGAGUACGCCCGCAAGGGUGAAACUCAAAGGAAUUGACGGGGGCCCGCACAAGCGGAGGAGCAUGUGGUUUAAUUCGAUGAUACGCGAGGAACCUUACCCGGGCUUGAAAGUUAGUGAAUGAUCUAGAGAUAGAUCAGUGAGCAAUCACACGAAACUAGGUGCUGCAUGGCUGUCGUCAGCUCGUGCCGUGAGGUGUUGGGUUAAGUCCCGCAACGAGCGCAACCCCUAUGUUUAGUUGCCAGCACGUUAAGGUGGGGACUCUAAACAGACUGCCUGUGCAAACAGAGAGGAAGGAGGGGACGACGUCAAGUCAUCAUGGCCCUUACGUCCGGGGCUACACACGUGCUACAAUGGAUGGUACAGAGGGCAGCAAGCUGGCAACAGCAAGCGAAUCUCAAAAAGCCAUUCACAGUUCGGAUAGAGGUCUGCAACUCGACCUCUUGAAGUUGGAUUCGCUAGUAAUCGCGUAUCAGCAAUGACGCGGUGAAUACGUUCCCGGGCCUUGUACACACCGCCCGUCAAGCCAUGGAAGUUGGGGGUACCUAAAGUAUGUAACCGUAAGGAGCGUCCUAGGGUAAAACCGAUAACUGGGGCUAAGU
rnacentral:rRNA from 1 species